UACGUAGGUGGCAAGCGUUGUCCGGAUUUACUGGGCGUAAAGAGCGCGCAGGCGGUCGUUCAAGUCGCGUGUGAAAGCCCCCGGCUCAACUGGGGAGGGUCACGCGAUACUGAUCGACUCGAAGGCAGGAGAGGGUAGUGGAAUUCCCGGUGUAGUGGUGAAAUGCGUAGAGAUCAGGAAGAACAUCGGUGGCGAAGGCGCUCUGCUGGACCAUAACUGACACUCAGGGACGAAAGCUAGGGGAGCGAAUGGG
rnacentral:rRNA from 1 species